CAGACUUGGUGGAACCCACCCAGGUCCUCUGCAGCUUCUCAUUUGGAGGGACUGUUUCCUCCUAUAGGCCAUCGAUGUGGAGAUCUACAGAAAUGAGCGGGAGGCGGCAGUGGCGGAGAGGGCUGGCCUGUUCCUCCUCAACCUGGCCAUUGGGCCCCACUUCCACUUCGAAGUGGAGCAAAUCAAACCUCUGCUCUCAUUGGCCAUUCGCCAGGUGAGGAGGACAACAGGCUGGGCCAAGGGCAAUGGCAGCCAUUCAUCCAGUGAAGAUGACCUCUUCCAGGGAGCUCUCAAAUUCGGGGACGACUGAGAACUCCUGGCAGACCUUAUGUGGGGAAUAUUCAGCGGACUUCUUCAAGCAAGAAUAAGAGGACUCCAGGAACGAUGGUCUCCAGGAAUAGCCCACAGCUACCACGAGGCCCAGAGCAACCUGGCCAAAACAUAAAACCCCAGAAGAAGAGCUCCAUAUGUGCCAACAAGAUGAGGAGCGUCUUGCCCAGCUGGAGGCACACCGCUGUCUAGCAGGAGAUCAUCUCUGUAUGCAGCGGGCACAGCUCUGCAAGCUGGUUGCCGAACUUGGCAAAGAAGAGGAACUGCUGAAACAGGGAGAGAGAGAGCAGCGAGAGGCAGAGCGCCCACCGGAGGAAUAAGAAGUGCCUUCAGCCCAAGCAGCAUGAACAGGAGCCAGAGAGGCUUCCUCCUCGACAGCAACAGCCAGCCGAGGUCACCUCCGAGGGCUCUUCACCCCAGCAGAGGAUCCCCACGUGGUUCUCAUCCCCUUUGAACGGGCUGAGCAGAACUAGGAUCUCC